rnacentral:rRNA from 1 species
AGGUCCUGCCUGCCCAGUGAAACUUUUAAACGGCCGCGGUAUUCUAACCGUGCAAAGGUAGCGCAAUCACUUGCCCUUUAAUUAGGGGCUAGUAUGAACGGCUUAAUGAGGGCUCACCUGUCUCCUAGGACCAAUCAAUGAACUUGACACCUCAGUACAAAUGCUGAGAUGCCUACAUAAGACGAGAAGACCCUGUGGAACUUCAAUUGUACCUGCUAGCAACCAAAAAUUUUUACCACGCACACCUAGCAAAGAUUUAAGUUGGGGCAACUGCGGAGCAAAACAAAACCUCCACGAAAUACGACUGCCCGUCGCACCAUCAGGCUCACACGCCAACUAAAUUAAACGCUUGAUCCAGUAAAACUGACUCACGAACCAAGCUACCCCAGGGAUAACAGCGCCAUCCCCUUUAAGAGUCCAUAUCACCAAGGGGGUUUACGACCUCGAUGUUGGAUCAGGACACCCAGG